rnacentral:SRP_RNA from 1 species
CCGUGCUAGACGGGGAGGUAGCGGUGCCCUGUACCCGCAACCCGCUAUAGCGGGGUCGAAUUCCCGCCCGAGGCCCUUUCCUCUUGGGGUCUGGCCGGCGCGGGUGGCGAAGAAGGCUGGGUCCCGUGCAACGGGAACUUACGAACCCCGUCAGGCCCGGAAGGGAGCAGCGGUAAGUAAGACCUCCCGUGUGCCGCGGGGCAACCUGGCCUGAGUUAACUACGCCGGUAACGCCCGAAAGGACGAGUCGAAGGCGGGUGCACGG